AAAAAGAAACUAUUUUGAAUAAAAGAAAGUAUCGGUAAAGACAAGGAUAAAACGAAAAUGAUGCAAAGUUUAAGUGUGACUUUUUUUGUGCUUUUUUCCAUCUCUGGUAAGUACACAUGCUGAUGUAUGGACCUAAUUACUAUUAUAUUAAGAAUAUACAUGUAUUUGUUCAUUUUCUCACAGGUGAUACAUUCGACAAUUUAUGCAUAUUUAAAUCGAAUAGUGAAAGUUUUAUUUUUGGAAAAGUUUGAAUAUCUUUUUGUCCGAAAUAUUUUUGUACGCUUUGACCAUUGUGGUCCAAUUUAUAGGCUUUUAGUUAAAAAAAAUAAUUCAAAUUAUUUCAAAACAUCAUCGACCUCAAGUGGAAGCCGUGACUUGUUAAUUCCAUUUUGAAAUCCUGAUAGUACCAUUAGUUAUCUUAAAUUCCCGAAAUACCAAUAAAACUCCAUUAGAAUAUUUUUGAAGUAUAUACGUAGCAGCCUUGUAAUUCAGUGGUUGUCGUUUGUUUAUGUGUUACAUAUUUGAUUUUCGUUCAUUUUUCUUACAUAAAUAAGGCCGUUAGUUUUCUCGUUUGAAUUGUUUUACAUUGUCUAUCGGGCCUUUUAUAGCUGACUAUGCGGUAUGGGCUUUGCUCAUUGUUGAAGGCCGUACGAUGACCUAUAGUUGUUAAUGUCUGUGUCAUUUUGGUCUUUUGUGGAUAGUUGUUGACAAUCAUACCACAUCUUCUUUUUUAUAUUGUAUAUUGGAUAGGAAAACAUAGUGAUUCGAAAUAUUCAAACAUUUUAUGAACAAAAAAAUUUACAUAAAAUGAGCACAUCAAAAAAACUCUGCAUGGCUUCGGCCAAUUUUGGUCUGGUAGAGAAACUUCAUCGUUUUGCAAUUUUUGAAUGAACAGUGAUAAGAAAAUUCCGUGUUUUUAUUUAUUUCUCCUAUGAUUCAUACAUGUGUUACCGGAAGACAUUCAAGAUUCGUGCAUUUGGGUUUCAACUAAUUGCUUUCAUCCCGGUGCGGAGCUAUUAGUUUCAAUUGAAAUACACGCCAUCUUGAAUAAAUUACUUUUCACGUAUAUAUUCUGAUUGGAUGCGGCUGAGAUACAGCAACAGCUAUUGGCUUAAAUGAGAUAAAGAAUUACAGACUUUUCUCGGCCAGGAUAAGACAUUAAAUGCCGGAAAAUUGACAAUUCAGUUCCAAACAACUGUCAUUAAUUCAAGUUCGUUUUAUUUUGCAUAUAUACAUUUCACAGAUGAAUUCAAUACUGAAAUAUCAAUUAUUAAUACGUGUGUAUUUGCUUUGUUACUCAGUUUGCACGAUUUGCUUUACUAAACAAUAUAUAUGUUCAUAUACAAUAUUAUGUUUAUAAAAAAGCAUUAUCUGUAGUUUAUAACUUCUGACAAUCUAGGCACACCCUAGAGUCGUGUCGUUUUACAAUUGUUUUAAUUUUCAACAAGAAAUUUAGAUUUUUAAAAGCAUGGAUAUAUAACGCAUACAGACACUCUUAAUAUAAAGAACAUCAAGUUUUUAUCAAUCAAUAUCUAAAAAUACCACAUUUCCAAAACUAAUUAACAACCACAUGCACACAUAUUACCUUAAAUUAGCGUAGAGCGAAGCAGUCCAUAGCUUUUUAGAAAGCUAAAACUUGUUACAUAAAUUAUGUAUCGCCGUUUUUAACACACUCCAUAUAAAUUAGGUGCGGAUCACGGAUUUUAAAAUGGGACACAUAUUUAGUCAAUGUCUGGACUGUUGCAUUGUAAAAAGUAUAUACAUUUUUCACAUGUGUGUAGCUUCAUAAAGGGGUGCCAUCUUCCCUAAAUCCGCCUCUGUUAAUUGCCAAGUGUGCACAUGCCACAACAUGUAUAAUACAAAUUGGUCCCGUUUAUUGAGUUGCGGCCUCUUGUUACUGUUACCAGGGGCGGAUCCAGGAAUUUAAAAAGGGGGCGACGGUUUUAAAAGUUUGACGAGCGGAGCGAGGCGAAAAAUGUUUGGGAUCUUUUUUGGGUUUAAAAACAUAAAAUUAGUGUAACAUGCACUUUUUGAACGGUUCCUGUCGUGGGGCAUGUAUAUUCUAUAGUUGCUGUAAAGUGUAAGGGUUGGACAUUUUUUAUGCUGUAUUAUAUAUUCUCCCUAUUGAUUGUCUAUCAUAAAAUGAUAGCAUGGAUCCAAAGCUAUGUACUGAUAUAUUUGAUGUGGGACUUGUCAGUAAAAAAUAGACAUGGAAAAUUCUCGUUUGUUGUAUGUUAAGUUAGCAUAACCUCACAUAUUUCUUGUUGUAAACAAGAAAUACGCCGAGUUAUUCGAUGAAAUUUACAAUACGACCGACAAGAGUUUAAAAAGUCAAACAAGCAAUUUUUAUCCGAAUGUUUGGUUGAUAUGUUUUUUCACGCAACAAAAUUAAGGGAGGUGAGAGGUUCCAAAUCAAUCAAAGGCUACGAAUGAGUCUGAAAUGACAACGAAUUUAUGAAUGACGGUCGACAAAUGGAGACAUAAAGGCCACACUCAGCAGUCAGGUUGAAGUCUGCAGCAUGGUCUUGAAAAAAAGAAUUCAAUAUAUCAGUUCGGCGAAACAGACAUUCCGGUCAGACAUGCAAACCCCGGCCCUAAAAAAAUACGCCUGUUUUUUGUUCAUCAUGUUCAUUUAAUGCUAAAUACUUCUGUUGGAAAUUUUCAUUUCUAAUUGCAAAAAAAGUGGACAAGGUUAUUGGUUUCAAUCCAGAUACGGCCAGAAUUUUUAUUCAAUGCAAAAACCAGAGUCAGAUUUUUUUCUUUCAAAUACCUUAGACUGCCUCCUCAAAUCAAAUGGUUCUUACUUACGACUUUAAAUAGAUAUAGAGCUUAUACUGACUGGGGUCAUUAUUCAGAUAUCAUGUUAUUUUAAAAUAGGCUGGGGCGUUUGGGGUUAAACAUGUUUUCGUAGGUAAAUAAUAUUGCUGUGGAUUUUUUUCAUGAGAGUGUAAUAGAGUAUUACUUUCUGUUUGGUUGAAUUGUGAAAUAGAAGUCACUACGUUCUUGCUCAAUCCUGUGUCGCUUUGAAGGUAUCAUGGUUGUCAUCCUCAGCCUAAGCAAUGGGUUACUGUAAUUUGAAUUUCAAAAUGACUGAGUGACGGGUUUUUUUUGACACACUGGUCAACUCCAUAUUAAUAGCGAAUCACAUGACUUUGACAUAAUCAGUAAAUACCAGCGAAAAAUAUCUUUAUAAGUAAAGAAUUGUCACAUAAAUAUUAAAUACACGGGAAAUGGCAAUGUUCACGAAGUCUAGUCUGAUUAAUCAUUUAAAAAAAAAGUUCAAAUCCUCCAAUAUAACGUUGCACAUGCAUGCACAACCUUUAUUUACAGGAAUGUACAUAUUAUAUACACUAAGCACUCAUGGUACGUUGGUCAAUAUAUAGAUUUGAUAUUAAAAGCAAUGUCUAGUUAAAUAAAAUCUACGAACGGUCGUCACUGAAGUAAAGUAGUGUCUCCUCCAUGACAGUCUUAAACUUUAAAACUCAAUAUUUAAAAAUAAAAAAACCACUGCUAUUUUACGUGUUAGGUAAAGGUUGGUUAUCACUGUGCACAACCGUUCAACAAAGAAUUCUAUUGGGAAAAACCAGAAAACUCUUUUUGUCAGAAAACACUGUCAAACAUCCAAACAUACUAUCCACACUGAUCUGUGUCCACACUUGUAAUUUAUGUAAAAUAAUUGUUGUUUUCUUUCAGCAAUACAUAGCGCUUCUGUGCGUUCAAAAGAAACAAUCGGGCUGUUACGCUUACUUGAUGAUUUGAAAGACUAUAGUCGCAGGGAUAUGAUCAACACUGAACUAAAAGAAGAAAGUAACACGGAAUCACGG
rnacentral:lncRNA from 1 species